rnacentral:rRNA from 1 species
CACCGCGGUUAUACGAGAGACCCAAAUUGAUAUGAGCGGCGUAAAGGGUGGUUAGAGAUUAUUAAUAAUAGGGCCGAACUCACCCCUGGCUGUUAUACGCUACGGAAUGAAGAAGCACGUAAACGAAGGUGGCCCUAAACACUUGAACCCACGAAAGCUGGGGAA